rnacentral:miRNA from 1 species
CCAGGCCUGCUGGACCGACGC